UGUCGUGGGCAUAAUAUCAUUGAGGUGUAUUCAAUUCAGCAAUCAACAAAGUAGUUGCCUUGUGUAGUUAGGUUCAAGUUGUCUGGAAAAUCGAACAAUAUGGUGUUACAGCUACCAACUUAGUUUUAACUGUGACGCAAAUGUUGAGGAAGCAUGGGGUUGUUGGCAAGUUUGUUGAGUUUUAUGGUGGGGGCAUGGGUGAAUUAUCAUUAGCUGAUAGGGCUACUAUUGCUAAUAUGUCUCCUGAAUAUGGAGCAACCAUGGGUUUCUUUCCCGUAGAUCAUGCCACUCUAUAAUAUCUCAAGCUAACAGGACGAAGUGACAAAACUGUUAAGUAUUGUACGUGUGAAUGUUUUGAUUGGGGAAUGGGCGGAUUAGAAAUUUGGUUGAUGAGGAAACCACCCUCUUAUGUACCAGGUGGCAAUGAUAGAAGCCUAUCUGAUAGCAAACAACAUGUUCGUUGACUACAACGAGCCUAAAAAAGAGAGUAUAUUCAUCUUAUCUAGAGCUGGAUCUUGCAGAUGUUGAACCCUGCAUCUCAGGUCUAAAGCGGUAUGUUCGUGUUAGUCUAAUCUAUGUGUUAUAUUCACUCGGUUGUUGAAUCAUUAUAUUCAAGUUGGAGUUAUUGCAGGAAAGGUAUUUUAUUUGGGUCAGUAGGCUUUUAGAUUGAGCUUCUCUUGUUUUUGGUAUGACUUCGUAAUAUGGCUUUAAAGUUGCUA